rnacentral:tRNA from 2 species
GGGCACGUAGCGCAGCAGGAGGCGCGUCUCGACGGCAUCGAGAAGGCCGCGGGUUCGAUUCCCGCCGUGUCCA